GACGAACGCUGGCGGCGUGCUUAACACAUGCAAGUCGAACGGAAAGGCCCUGCUUUUGUGGGGUGCUCGAGUGGCGAACGGGUGAGUAACACGUGAGUAACCUGCCCUUGACUUUGGGAUAACUUCAGGAAACUGGGGCUAAUACCGGAUAGGAGCUACCGCUGCUGGGUGGGGGUUGGAAAGUUUCGGCGGUUGGGGAUGGACUCGCGGCGUAUCAGCUUGUUGGUGGGGUAGUGGCUUACCAAGGUUUGGACGGGUAGCAGGCCUGAGCGGGGGACCGGCCACAUUGGGACUGAGAUACGGCCCAGACUCGUACGGGAGGCAGCAGUGGGGAAUAUUGCACAAGGGGCGGAAGCCUGACGCAGCAACGCCGCGUGCGGGAUGACGGCCUUCGGGUUGUAAACCACUUUCGCCUGUGACGAAGCGUGAGUGACGGUACUGGGUAAAGAAGCACCGGCUAACUACGUG
rnacentral:rRNA from 1 species